GCAGGCGCGCAAUUACCCAAUCCUGACACAGGGAGGUAGUGAUAAUAAAUAACAAUACAGGGCUCUUCGAGUCUUGUAAUUGGAAUGAGUACAAUUUAAAUCCCUUAACGAGGAACAAUUGGAGGGCAAGUCUGGUGCCAGCAGCCGCGGUAAUUCCAGCUCCAAUAGCGUAUAUUAAAGUUGUUGCAGUUAAAAAGCUCGUAGUUGGAUUUCUGCUUUGAGCGUCCGGUCCGCUCCUUCGGAGUGUGUUACUAGGAUGGUUGCGGCAUUUUUUGUGAGGACGCCCUUCUGCCAUUCAGUUGGUGGUUGGAUGGACUUGCAUCGUUUACUGUGAAAAAAUUAGAGUGUUUAAAGCAGGCGUUUGCUCAUUGAAUACAUUAGCAUGGAAUAAUAAGAUACGACCUUGGUGGUCUAUUUUGUUGGUUUGCACACCAGGGUAAUGAUUAAUAGGGACAGUUGGGGGUAUUCAUAUUGCAGCGUCAGAGGUGAAAUUCUUGGAUCGCUGCAAGAUGAGCUUAGGCGAAAGCAUUUACCAAGGAUGUUUUCAUUAAUCAAGGACGAAAGUUAAGGGAUCGAAGAUGAUUAGAUACCAUCGUAGUCUUAACCAUAAACUAUGCCGACUCGGGAUUGGCAGUCGUUUUUUUAAUGACCUUGUCAGCACCGUAUGAGAAAU
rnacentral:rRNA from 1 species